CCGCAGCGGACACCCCAGACCGGCCUGGCCCUGCAGCGGAGCCUGCACGCGACGGCGGCCCGGGCUCUCCCGCUCAUUCCCAUCGUGGUGGAGCAGACGGGUCGCGGCGAGCGCGCCUAUGACAUCUACUCGCGGCUGCUGCGGGAGCGCAUCGUGUGCGUCAUGGGCCCGAUCGAUGACAGCGUUGCCAGCCUUGUUAUCGCACAGCUCCUCUUCCUGCAAUCCGAGAGCAACAAGAAGCCCAUCCACAUGUACAUCAACAGCCCUGGUGGUGUGGUGACUGCGGGCCUGGCCAUCUACGACACGAUGCAGUACAUCCUCAACCCGAUCUGCACCUGGUGCGUGGGCCAGGCCGCCAGCAUGGGCUCCCUGCUUCUCGCUGCCGGCACCCCGGGCAUGCGCCACUCGCUCCCCAACUCCCGUAUCAUGAUCCACCAACCCUCAGGAGGCGCCCGGGUGAGUGCCAGACACACGAGCUGCUAUUGGGAAUCAGGACAGGGUCUAGACAGAAGGACUGACUGGGCAGAAGUCAAGUGUGGGAAGGGAUGUCUUUUUUUUUUUUGAGACAGAGUCUCACUCUGUCGCCCAGGCUGGAGUGCAGUGGUUCGAUCUCGGCUCACUGCAAGCUCCACCUCCCAGGUUCAUGCCAUUCUUCUGCCUGAGCCUCCCAAGUAGCUGGGACUCCAGGCGCCCGCCACCACGCCCAGCUACUUUUUUGUCUUUUUAGUGGAGACAGGGUUUCACCCUGUUAGCCAGGAUGGUCUCGAUCUUCUGACCUCGUGAUCCGCCCGCCUCCCGAAGUGCUGGGAUUACAAGCGUGAGCUACCGCGCCCGGCGGGGAGUGGAUGUCUUAGAAUGUGCAGGCCGGGCUGGGUGUGGUGGCUCAAGCCUGUAAUCCUAGCACUUUGGCAGACAGAAGCGGGAGGAUCAUGUGAGCUCAGGAGUUCGAGGCCAGCCAGGGGAACAUAAUGAGACCUCAUCUCUAUUAAAGAAAAAAAAAAAAAAA
rnacentral:sRNA from 1 species